CAAGGAGGAAACGCAAUGAACGCCCACUCCUGGAACCUUCAAAAACGCCCCUCAACAGCAUCCCCACAGCACCCAGCACCCCUUCCCUUCCCCACCAUGAGUCCUCGGCCUCACGCCUUCGCCCUCCUCCUCCUCCUGGCCGCCGUCCCAGGGCUGCGGGCGGCCGCCACCUUGGACGAGACCGGAGGGGGCCUCGUGAAGCCUGGGGGCUCCCUGACCCUGGUCUGCAAGGGCUCCGGCUUCACCUUCAGCAGCUACGGCAUGUAUUGGGUGCGACAGGCACCUGGGAAGGGGCUCGAAUACGUCGCGAGUAUUGGCAGCAGUGGUAGUGGCACAGACUACGCGUCGGCGGUGAAGGGACGCUUCACCAUCUCCAGGAACAACGGGCAGAGCACGGCCACCCUGCAGAUGAACAGCCUCAAGGCCGAAGACACCGCCACCUACUACUGCGCGAAAAGUGCUUACAGUGAUUGUGACGAUACUAAUGAAAUUGAUCUGUGGGGCCACGGGACCGAGGUCACCGUCUCCUCCGGUAAGUCCUCCG